ACUUCGGUCUGGUGGCGAGUGGCGAACGGGUGAGUAAUGUAUCGGAACGUGCCCAGUAGCGGGGGAUAACUACGCGAAAGCGUAGCUAAUACCGCAUACGCCCUACGGGGGAAAGCAGGGGAUCGCAAGACCUUGCACUAUUGGAGCGGCCGAUAUCGGAUUAGCUAGUUGGUGGGGUAACGGCUCACCAAGGCGACGAUCCGUAGCUGGUUUGAGAGGACGACCAGCCACACUGGGACUGAGACACGGCCCAGACUCCUACGGGAGGCAGCAGUGGGGAAUUUUGGACAAUGGGGGAAACCCUGAUCCAGCCAUCCCGCGUGUGCGAUGAAGGCCUUCGGGUUGUAAAGCACUUUUGGCAGGAAAGAAACGUCGUGGGUUAAUACCCCGCGAAACUAACGGUACCUGCAGAAUAAGCACCGGCUAACUACGUGCCAGCAGCCGCGGUAAUACGUAGGGUGCAAGCGUUAAUCGGAAUUACUGGGCGUAAAGCGUGCGCAGGCGGUUCGGAAAGAAAGAUGUGAAAUCCCAGAGCUUAACUUUGGAACUG
rnacentral:rRNA from 1 species